rnacentral:lncRNA from 1 species
UUUUUUAAUCUCUGUUCUUUGAUUUCAUUGUAUUGAUUUCAUGUGUAAGUAAGGGCUGAUCUUUUUCUUGAGUGGUUGUAGUUCAAUUUAUUCCAACAAUUUCGAAGCAAAACACUAUGAGCUCCAACCAUAGAAUUAUUAUAGAUCCGUCCAAGCUUGAAACCAUCAAUGGCACUAACUACAAACAGUGGUCUUAGAGGAUGAUGAUCGUUCUGGAACAGCUGAGAGUAGAUUAUGUCAUUCGCACAGAUCCACCUCCUGCGUCAGGAGCUUCAUCUAACAAUGCUCCAGUCGUUGCCAUUGAUGCAUCCAAGAAAGCACAAACAGUUGGGGACAAAGAUGGCCAACCUUCUAGUGAAAAGACGACCCCACAACCUAUCAACAAAAUAAAAAAAAUAUGAAGAGGACAACAAGAAGGCAAGGUAAAUCAUGUUGAACCACAUGACAAGCCUUAUUGUUCAUCUCCUGUUCUGCAAGACUUCAGCUAAUGAGAUUUGGGAGCUACUGGAGAGGAAAUAUGAUGCAGAUGAUGCUGGUAGGAAAAGAGAUGCAGUAGGCAACUGGUUGAAGUACAAUUUUCAGAAGGAUAAGCCUAUCAUGUAUCAAGUACAUGUCUAUCAAAACCUCACUACUCAAAUACUUGCUAAAGGAAUGAAGAUCUGUAAAGUUUUUCAAGCAAGUGUCCUUAUUGAGAAGCUGGUACAAUCCUGAGAUGAUUACAAGAUGAAACUCAAAAUCAAGAAAAGAAACAUGUCACUGGAAGAGUUAGUAGGUCACAUAAAGAUUGAAGAAACAAACCAUCAGAAGAUUAAAGCUUUUACUCAGAUGCAUCAUUCUGCAAAAGCAUAUGUUGUGGAGUUUGAGAGAGAAAACAAACUCAAGGCUUCUGUCUAGAAGAAGCCAUCUUGGAAGGAAAGAUCCACUCCUUUCAAGAGACCAUAACAAACUCUCAUAUUAUCUUAUGUUGAUGGCUGCUUUAUUUGUGGAAGGAUGGGACACAGGGUCUAUCAAUGCCGUUUCAGGAAAAAUCUAGGAUCCACCUCAAAAACUCAUCUUCACUUGGUGGAUAAUCAAAAAGGAAAAUCAAUAGAAGAAGAAAUCGGAAAAGAAAUUUUUUUUAUUGUUGUUGUGGUUCAACUGGAAGCAAAUGUGAAGGAAGAGAAGGUGGAAUUGCUUUUUGACUUAGGAGGUUGCCGGCACUUCUGCUCUUCAAAGGAUUUUUUCUCAUUCCUAAAAAAAUAAUAUUGGAGAAAUAGUCUACAUGGGAAUUGUCAGCAGCUCACCUAUAAUGAGAAAGGGGAAGAUCAAUCUCUCUCUCAUCGUGAAAUAAUACUUGUCUUGGUGAUGUUCUGUUUGUACCUUUCUUAAGAAGAAAUUUGAUUUCUCCUGGUCUGCUGAUCAAAGCUGGUCUUAAG